rnacentral:rRNA from 1 species
AUCUGGUUGAUCCUGCCAGUAACAUGCUUGUCUCAAAGAUGAACCCAUGCACGUCUAAGUGCACACAACCUUUGAUCCCUCCUUCUGUUACUUGGAUAACUGUGGUAAUUCGACAGCCAAUAAAUGCCGAUGAACGAUUUGGUGACUUUAGAUAACCUCGGGCCGAUUGCAUGUCCCCAUGAUGGCGAUGAUACAUUUGGAUGUCUUCCCUGUCAACAUUUGAUGAUACUUUCUGUGCCUACCAUGGUGACCAUGGGUAACCAGCGUUCAAUUCAGGAGAUGGAGCCUGAGAAAUGGCUACCACAUCCAAGGAAGGCAGAAGGCAUGCAAAUUACACGCUCCCAACUCAGAGGGGUAGUGACGAAUUGGAAUGAGUACACUUUAAAACCUUUAACGACCAACCAUUGGAGGGCAAGUCUGGUGCACAGCCAUGGUAAUUCCAGUGCCAACAGCGUGCAUAUUAAAUACUUCAGCUAGGAAUAUUUAAAUAUGAUUCUGGUUCUAUUUUGUUGGUUUCAGAACUGGGGCAAUGAUUAAGAGGGACGGCUGGGGGCAUUAGUUUUGUACCGCUAGAGGGGAAAUUCUUGGACCGGCGCAAGAUGAACCAACUUGAAAGCAUUUGCAAAGAAUGUUUUCAUUAAUCAAGAACGAAAGUCGGAGGUUCAGAGACGUUCAAAAUAGCGCCAUAGUUCUGACCAUAAAAGAUACCGACUAGCGAUCCGGCAGCAUUAUUCCCAUGACCCGCCCAUGACCCGCCAAGUACCUUUCUGGAAACCAAAGUGGUUGGGUUCCAGGGGGAGUAUGGUUGCAAAGGUGAAAUCCAAAGGAAUUGAUGGAAGGGCACCACCAGGAGUGGAGCCUAUGGCUUAAUUUGACAACACUGAAAACCUCACCCGGCCAAGACAUGGAAAUGAUUGACAGAUUGCUAGCUCUUUCUCAAUUUUGUGGGUGGUGGUGCGUGGCCAUUAUUACUUGGUGGAGCGAUAUGUAGAGUUAAUUUUGAUAACUAACAAGACUCCUCCAUGCUAACUAGUUACGCAAAGCCCAGCGGUUGGCGUUCUACUUCUUAGAGGGGCAACUGGCAUUCAGCCACACUAGAUUGAGCAAUAACAGAUCUGUGAUGCCCUUAGAUGUCCAGGGCUGCACACAUUUUAAACUGAAUGGAUCAGCGUGGGUCUACCCUUCGCCGACAGGUGUGGGUAACCCACUGAACCCCAUUCAUGAUAGGGACCAGAUGUUGCAAUUAUUUCCCAUGAAUGAGGAAUUCCCAGUAAGUAUGGGUCAUAAACUGGUGUUAAGUUCCUGUCCUUUGUAUACACCACCCGUAACUAGUACUGAUUGGAUGGUUUUGUGUGGUCCUCAGAUUGGCCCACCUGGGGUCAUAAACAGCCCUAGUGGGACACUGAUAAUAUGAUCAAACUUGGCAAUCUAGAGGAAGUAAAAGUUGUAACAAGGUUCCUGUAGGUAAACCUGUGGAAG